UACGCAGGGGGCUAGCGUUGUUCGGAUUUACUGGGCGUAAAGGGCGCGUAGGCGGCGCACCAAGUCAGGCGUGAAAGCCCUGGGCUCAACCCGGGAAUUGCGCUUGAGACUGGUGUGCUUGAGUACGGGAGAGGAUAGUGGAAUUCCCAGUGUAGAGGUGAAAUUCGUAGAUAUUGGGAAGAACACCGGUGGCGAAGGCGGCUAUCUGGACCGUAACUGACGCUGAGGCGCGAAAGCGUGGGGAGCAAACAGG
rnacentral:rRNA from 1 species